AAUUUAAGGUCUGAUCUGCUCAAUGAUGUUUAAAUUGCCGCAGUAUUUUGACUGUGCAAAGGUAGCAUAAUAAUUAGUUUCUUGAUUAGGAACUGGAAUGAAUGAUUGGACAAGAAAAUUUCUGUCUCUUUUUUAAAUUUUUUGAAUUUUAUUUUUAAGUGAAAAAGCUUAAAUUUUUAUAAAAGACGAGAAGACCCUAUAGAGUUUAAUAAUAUAAGUUGAUUAAAUUUUAGAAAUAUAUUUUAAUUUUGUUUAUUUGGUUGGGGUGAUUUAAAGAUUAAAUAAAUUCUUUAAUUUUAUAAUUAGUGAUUUCUAAAUUUUAAAUCUAUAUAUAAUAAAUAUAAUAUAAAUUACCUUAGGGAUAACAGCGUAAUUUUUCUUUAAAGUUCUUAUUAAAAGUAAAGUUUGCGACCUCGAUGUUGGAUUAAAAUUAAUUUUUGGUGCAGUAACUAAAAAAUUAGGUCUGUUCGACCUUUAAAAUUUUACAUGAUCUGAGUUUAAACCGGUGUAAACCAGGUUGGAUUCUAUCUUUAGAAAUAUAUUAUAUUUUAGUACGAAAGGACCAAAUAUUUAUUAAAUUAAUUG
rnacentral:rRNA from 1 species